GGAAGGAUCAUUACCGAACUGUCGACACGAGUUGUUGCUGGUUCCCAAAUGGGGGCAUGUGCACGCUCUGUUCACACAUCCACUCACACCUGUGCACCUUCUGUAGUUCUAUGGGCUGGGGACCCUGUCCUCCUUCUGUAGCUCUAUGUCUUUACACACACACUGCAAUAAAGUCUUGUGGAAUGUAUGCCGCGUUUAACGCAAUACAAUACAACUUUCAGCAACGGAUCUCUUGGCUCUCGCAUCGAUGAAGAACGCAGCGAAAUGCGAUAAGUAAUGUGAAUUGCAGAAUUCAGUGAAUCAUCGAAUCUUUGAACGCACCUUGCGCCCCUUGGUUAUUCCGAAGGGCAUGCCUGUUUGAGUAUCAUGAACACCUCAACUCUUGUGGUUUCCCACAAUGAGCUUGGACCAUGGAGGUUUUUGUUGGCCCUCUGGUCAGCUCCUCUCAAAUGGAUCAGCUUACCGGUGUUUGGUGGCAUCAUGGGUGUGAUAACUAUCUACGCUUGUGGUCGUCUCCAAAUAACCUCCAGUGAUGGAGGUUCACUGGAGCUUAUAAACGUCUCUCCCCAGUGAAGACAGCCUUUGAACGUUCGAUCUCAAAUCAGGUAGGACUACCCGCUGAACUUAAGCAUAUCAAUAAGCGGAGGAAAAGAAACUAACAAGGAUUCCCCUAGUAACUGCGAGUGAAGCGGGAAG
rnacentral:misc_RNA from 1 species